GUGUACAUUGUGUGUUGGAAGUUUAGGUUUUUAUUCUGCCUUUUUUUUCUCUUCUUUUUACUUGACCCAAUUGUUUUGUUCCUUAUUUUUCCCUCUUAAUUGGUUUCCAGCCUUGUUAUUUUUGGCUAAUUAUUACAUCUUCCUUUUACGGAAAGCUCUUUGUAAAGGGAUGAUUCAUCCAUUGAUUUAUUGAAGUGUUCAAGUUUGAUCUUAAUGGCAGAAAUCUGUUGCCA
rnacentral:lncRNA from 1 species